AGCGAACGUUUGCGGCGGGCCUAACACAUGCAAGUCGAACGGGCUAGCAAUAGUCAGUGGCGCACGGGUGCGUAACACGUGGGUAAUCAACCCUUCAGCCUGGGAUAACGAUCUGAAAGGAUCGCUAAUACCGGAUGCGAUGCGAGGAACCUCGGUUUUUCGCAGGAAAGCUUUGCAAGGAGCACUGAAGGACGAGCCUGCGGCCCAUCAGCUAGUUGGUGAGGUAAAAGCUCACCAAGGCGAAGACGGGUAGCUGGUCUGAGAGGAUGAUCAGCCACACUGGAACUGAGACACGGUCCAGACUCCUACGGGAGGCAGCAGUGGGGAAUAUUGCGCAAUGGGCGAAAGCCUGACGCAGCCACGCCGCGUGAGCGAUGAAGGCCUCGGUCGUAAGACUCUGUGGGAGAGAAGAAGAAAGCGGGUGAAGAGUCCGCCUUGACGGUAUCUCCUUAGCAAGCACCGGCUAACUCCGUGCCAG
rnacentral:rRNA from 1 species